rnacentral:rRNA from 1 species
UACGUAGGUCCCGAGCGUUGUCCGGAUUUAUUGGGCAUAAAGCGAGCGCAGGUGGUUUAUUAAGUCUGGCGUAAAAGGCAGUGGCUCAACCAUUGUAUGCAUUGGAAACUGGUAGACUUGAGUGCAGGAGAGGAGAGUGGAAUUCCAUGUGUAGCGGUGAAAUGCGUAGAUAUAUGGAGGAACACCGGUGGCGAAAGCGGCUCUCUGGCCUGUAACUGACACUGAGGCUCGAAAGCGUGGGGAGCAAACAGG